ACGGAGGAAAGAAGGGGGAAGAGAACCAUGGGAUGUCUUUGAACGAAAUGUUCAAAGCAUUUAAAAUCAUGAUGAAUCCAAAAGUCCUCUUCAAUUCACGUUGAAGAAGUUUUCUCAAGGGAUAAAGAAAAGAAGCCAUCAUCAAGAAUGGCGAUUCAAACCAAAGGCUGUGCUCUAAAACUCUACUCUAUUUAAAUUCAUUACCGUAGUUCAAUUGCUAGUCUUUAUGCUCUAAUAUGUUUCUCUUAAACUUGUCACAUUCUUAAAAUUUUCUUUGA
rnacentral:lncRNA from 1 species